AACGAACGCUGGCGGCAUGCCUAACACAUGCAAGUCGAACGAGACCUUCGGGUCUAGUGGCGCACGGGUGCGUAACGCGUGGGAACCUGCCCUUAGGUUCGGAAUAACUCCCCGAAAGGGGUGCUAAUACCGGAUAAUGUCUUCGGACCAAAGAUUUAUCGCCUUUGGAUGGGCCCGCGCUGGAUUAGCUAGUUGGUAGGGUAAAAGCCUACCAAGGCGACGAUCCAUAGCUGGUCUGAGAGGAUGAUCAGCCACACUGGGACUGAGACACGGCCCAGACUCCUACGGGAGGCAGCAGUGGGGAAUACUGGACAAUGGGCGAAAGCCUGAUCCAGCAAUGCCGCGUGAGUGAUGAAGGCCUUAGGGUUGUAAAGCUCUUUUACCCGGGAUGAUAAUGACAGUACCGGGAGAAUAAGCUCCGGCUAACUCCGUG
rnacentral:rRNA from 1 species